rnacentral:rRNA from 1 species
AGUGAACGCUGGCGGUAGGCCUAACACAUGCAAGUCGAACGGCAGCACAGUAAGAGCUUGCUCUUACGGGUGGCGAGUGGCGGACGGGUGAGGAAUACAUCGGAAUCUACUUUUUCGUGGGGGAUAACGUAGGGAAACUUACGCUAAUACCGCAUACGACCUACGGGUGAAAGCAUGGGAUCUUCUGACCUUGCGCGAUUGAAUGAGCCGAUGUCGGAUUAGCUAGUUGGCGGGGUAAAGGCCCACCAAGGCGACGAUCCGUAGCUGGUCUGAGAGGAUGAUCAGCCACACUGGAACUGAGACACGGUCCAGACUACUACGGGAGGCAGCAGUGGGGAAUAUUGGACAAUGGGCGCAAGCCUGAUACAGCAAUACCGCGUGGGUGAAGAAGGCCUUCGGGUUGUAAAGCCCUUUUGUUGGGAAAGAAAAGCAGCAGGUUAAUACCACGCUGUUCUGACGGUACCCAAAGAAUAAGCACCGGCUAACUUCGUG